rnacentral:rRNA from 1 species
UACGAAGGGGGCUAGCGUUGCUCGGAAUCACUGGGCGUAAAGCGCACGUAGGCGGCUUUUUAAGUCAGGGGUGAAAUCCUGGAGCUCAACUCCAGAACUGCCUUUGAUACUGGGAAGCUUGAGUCCGGGAGAGGUGAGUGGAACUCCGAGUGUAGAGGUGAAAUUCGUAGAUAUUCGGAAGAACACCAGUGGCGAAGGCGACUCACUGGCCCGAUACUGACGCUGAGGCGCGAAAGCGUGGGGAGCAAACAGG